rnacentral:rRNA from 1 species
AACGACUCUCGGCAAUGGAUAUCUCGGCUCUUGCAUCGAUGAAGAACGUAGUGAAAUGCGAUACUUGGUGUGAAUUGCAGAAUCUCGUGAACCAUUGAGUCUUUGAACGCAAGUUGUGCCCGAGGCCUUGUGGCCGAGGGCACGCCUGCUUGGGCG